rnacentral:lncRNA from 1 species
AAAAAUAUAUUUUUAUAUAUAUAUAAAAAAUACUAUAUAUCAUAUAUAUCAUAGUGUGUAUAUAUAUAUAUACAUAUAAUAUAUAAUAUAAAACCUCUUUGGAUCUCAUAUUUCUGUUUAAUUCUCCCUGGUUUGAGGGGAUUAUAGGUUUCAUCAGAUCUUACCAAGCUGUUAAUAAUGAAGAAAUGCUCAUUAUUAAUAGCACGGUAUAAAGUAAAUGGCACUGAAUAUUAUGUUGGGGGCAGAGAAUGACACUGAAAGCUUUUUCUUUAUUACUUGCAGAGGAGAAGAAAGUAAAGAGCACUAAAGUGGAAGCAAAAGUUAAAAAGGAAGUGAAGGAUGGAAAAGGAGAAGCAAAGACGGCAGAGAAGGUGAAGCAGGCAGAGACAAAAACAACAGAAACUGGGCUAAUAAAGGCCAAAACGAAAGUUAAGGAGGAGAAAGCUCUUCAGACUGUUACUAAAUCGGACAAGAAAGAUCAAUAUGCAUUCUGUCGCUAUGUGAUUGACAUGUUUGCGCAAGGGGAUUUUUAUCCAGGUGCAGGACAUAAGGAAUUCAUACCACCUCGUCUUCUUCUAGAACACAGUCCAAGAAAGAAACCAGCAGCCAUUGAAGAAGAAAAGUCUACUGUGGAACCUAGAGAAGUGAAAAGUAUGUUGCUUUGUUGUUUUUCUUUAUUUUUUCAUUAUCUUCAUGUUAGUUUUAUGCAAGGGACAGGAGUAUAUUUUUUCUUGUAUUUGAAAACAUUCCUAUACCUUAAAUAUUUUUCAAUUAAAGAGAAUACUCUUGCUUAA